ACUCAAGCAAACUCGCAACAAUCGUACUUGAAAGGUUAGAAAUAGUAAACAUGUUACAAAAUAUAGGAUUGUAUUUGUCAAAGUAUGCAGGCAUCAAGACAGGAAGAUGGAUGAUCACUAGCGAGGAGGCAAGGAAUCUGUUUUCAGUUAUACUUUUGCAGUUUUCCCCUGGCUUACUUUUUCCAAUCAUUCAAUAACACUUUUAACUAUGUUUUUUGCAUUCCAAAUUCAUUGGCUGCUGGUUCCAUAAGUAGUUUGGUGGGCUCUGGUUACAUGACAUAUCUGUUAAUUUAACGAGGUGAAUGCGUGGUGCUGUGUGAAGUCAUGUAUUUUGACCAGGUGAAUUUGGGAAGCUGUCUGGAAGUACUGCAAGUUGACCAGGUGAAUUGGGGAAGCUGUCUGGAAGUACUGCAAAAACAUGGUCUUCAGUGUUGUUAUACUCCUACAAGGCACUCUAGGGAGCCGUGGUCAAUACAGUUUGAGAGCUCUAGUGAAGUAAUUGCUGUUCUAAUUUGUCUGCCGGGAUCAUGUUUUCUGUUUUGACUGAAAUACAUAUUCUGACUACUGUUUUGAUGCUGAAAUCUUGGUGUACGCUUGAUCUGGUGGGUGCUCUGUUUCACUGGGUACUAGGAUGUGGGACGCCAUGAACGCUUGGAUCUGGUGGACACUCCACUCUGUUUCAGUGGGUGUGUGUACUGAUGUGGGGUGUCAUGGAAUCAGAUCUUAACGCAGGCCGUACAUGUGCCACUUUCCUAAUUACUCGGAAAUACUGCCGACGAGUAAAUCAGGAAGACUUGCCGAUACGAGAAAAAACGAGGACUACCAAGAUCUGAUGCAGAUAAGGGGGAAAAAGAGAGGGGAGGGGAUCUGAUACCUUCGUUCUGGUUAUUAACGGCGAGGCGCCUGCUGGUUGGCGGCCCUCCGCCCCUUUCCCCUGCUCGAAGCAAGCUCUGCGUCCCGGUCAUACUUUUCUUUCUUGGCUCGCUCCCGGGCUGCUUGCUCUUGCUUAAUUUUUGUCUCGCAUGUGAGGACGUGCUUGUUUAGACGCGUAGGUCAUCCAGGACUUCGCCGCAGUGCACACACCUGAAAAUACCCAUCGGACAGCGGCGGUGGCGGCGGCGGUGGGAUUUUAGAUCUGAAACAGGGCGGCGCUGGAUGGGGUACUACAGUAGGUCUACGAGGUGAUAGGUAGCCAGCUUGCUAUUUUAAUCGGGGUUGGGUAUUUAGGGCAUGUCCGAAACGACCCUUAGGCUGCUUCUGGAAUGUUGUAUUUCUGCCAUCUCUGUAAUAUUUACACUUGUAUUAUACCAGCCUUUAAUCAAAUACAUGUCACAUAAUCUUCAGCUUGGAAUGUUGUUUUUUUCCCACCCCCGAUUUUCAAAAACACAAACUUUUAACAACAGCAACAUAGAGUGCACUUUUAACAACACAAAUUUUCAAAUACACACAUAUAGACUUUUCAAUAGCACAGACUGCACUUCCACACAUAUUGCACAAGUAUAAAAUGAGCUAAUUUUUUUCUUUUUAUAACAGUGUCACAACAUAAAAAAUUAAUAUUUUUGCAAUCAUCCAUUCGGACAUAGUUUCGAUAACUCAUAGUGCUCAAAAUUAGCAGUUUAAAUUAU
rnacentral:lncRNA from 1 species